rnacentral:ncRNA from 1 species
GAAAUCCCAUCAGGAUAAAACCUAACCAGCAGUCCUGUAGCUAGUUCUUGAAGGCUAGGCGGUAACAGCUUUAAGCGUAGAACGGCAAAAUAGCGGACCGAAAGCUGAAGUAAUUGAGCCUCGAAAAUACGUGGAGACAGGCCGAUGUAGUUAUACAUACAGAAGGCGAAAUCGGUUCAAACUGGGUUAUGGAUGCGGAUAUUUCGGGGUUCUUUGACCA